UACGUAGGGUCCAAGCGUUGUCCGGAAUUAUUGGGCGUAAAGAGCUCGUAGGCGGUUUGUCGCGUCUGCCGUGAAAGUCCGGGGCUCAACUCCGGAUCUGCGGUGGGUACGGGCAGACUAGAGUGAUGUAGGGGAGACUGGAAUUCCUGGUGUAGCGGUGAAAUGCGCAGAUAUCAGGAGGAACACCGAUGGCGAAGGCAGGUCUCUGGGCAUUAACUGACGCUGAGGAGCGAAAGCAUGGGGAGCGAACAGG
rnacentral:rRNA from 1 species